AUCCAGAUGACGAGUCCCACGUAGAAUGAGAUGCUCAUCCUGGAU
rnacentral:hammerhead_ribozyme from 1 species